CCCCCCCAAAAGACUUAGGUCACUUUACAAGAUAAAGUAAUAACCCCCAAAUAAUACCCCAACAUCCAAAUGCUCCAGGAAGUUUUACAUCUAAGAACUACUUACUUCUGAGAUACUAAUUUCUCAGUCCUUGACUGGUACCUACUGAUUUUUUUAAAAAUGUAGCUUUGUGUCUAAUACAGAAAUGUGAUUCAAUAGAUCUGCUCCUUAUGCCUGCUGUUAAAGAGUUAGAAACUUAAAAAGAUGGACCAGAGAGACAUCAGAUCUGAUCCAGUAUGGGCAUGGCAUUUCCUGUGCCUAACAAUGAAGUCACAGAGGACUAGAGGGAACACCACUACAUUGGCUUCAAGCUGCCUCAUUCCAUGUGGGGAGCAACACAACCACUAGUCUAGAGGAUCUGGCCCUCCAUGAUUGCCAAACAGAGCUCCAGGUAUCCCUAGAAGUUGCAGGUCCCAGUACAACAUUAGAUGCUCUUUAUGCGCAUAUCUGUUCAAAAGAAUGAGGCAUCUUGGUUCCCUUCCCCUACCUUUUUUUUGGCCACAAGAGGGUGCCAUUUAAAUUCAUUUCAUGUAAGAAAUUGGCAAGUUAGAAAAAGUUUAACGGGGAAGAUUGGUGUCUUCUUAGAUCAUUCAAUACAUUUCCCUAGUAGGGAUACAGAAAUUCCUAUUGCCUUUAAUCCAAAUAAGCCAUUUAAUCAUUUUAAAAUGUUAAUAAUAAGAGUUUGAUAUUAAAAUCUAUUCAGAUUAAAAACCUUUUUAGUUUAAUGGAAUUUUCUGGUCAACUGCCAUUGUACUGUUAGAACCAGGAUUUUGUCUUUACACAUUUUCACACAAACAUGAAAUAAAAUACAUUUAACAGAAUCUCUUUUUAGCACAGAUCUGCCUUGAAGGAUCCACAGGCCACCAGGACUUGCACUAAAGUUUUUGCCUGAAAAGAUCUUAAAUCUUUACAGAGCCAUUUCACAUUUUCAGGGUUAGAAGAGAUCUCUCAUUUCAACUACUCUAAGGGUCAAAUACCAAGGUCAUUUUGGAACUCUGCCCAGCUGCCUCUGCAGUUCUACAAGGUAGGCUGUAGAAAUCUGGCUGAAUGAAAGAAAAAAAAAAAAACGCAGUGGGAGGAGAAAUCAUGUCAUCAUGACAUUCUGGAAGAAAAAAAGAACUAAGAAUGCUGCGGGACAUCUGCCCUUUCAAAAGCCUCAGGAGUCUCUCAAGCUGAUACAUUUCAGAUUGGCUUAAUAUUUAAAAGAGAUGCACUCAAAGACAUAAGGGAAGUUUGAGAAAAGAGUGGCCUUUGUUGUACAUGCGGAGAUAAAAAAAAUCCCCACAUUUAUGUACACUGAUUACUAUACAUUUAGCAAGACCUGUAAUUACUACUCUACACCAAGUGUAUCAUUUGAGAACAAUUUACUUACCGCCCAGAUGUGCUCAUAUAUUUACUACAGGACCUUAAAUUCUUAUCCAGAGGGAUCUACUCUGUCAUUUAGAUCCAGAUGCUAGAGCAAAACCAUUGACAUUGGAACAUGUGGUCUAGAGUCCCAUUAUUUAUUUAUUUAUUUUUAAGAUUAAGGUUACUAUUUUAAACUUGAUAAAAGGACACAUUUAGUUACAAAUUCACUCCCAAACCAAAGUUUUCCCUGUGAUCUGUUCUAAACACAGAAAUAUACAAAUUUUGAUUACAGCACACAAGAGUCUCCAAAGAGUCUACUUCCAUAUUUGCUUUGCUCUUCAUUUAGAUGACCUUUUACUCUUUUAGGUUUUGGGCAAAGGCCUAACUACCAGGGUCUGCGCUCUGGGUGGAAACGGCAGCUGGGGGCGGCCAGGUUUAGCAGUCAUUCUCCCCCCCCACCUCCCCCCUCUGGUCACCCACCCUUUGCUACACUACUACUUUGUGGGGAGGUUGCUGGGAGAGAAGGAGUUACAAAUACCUGCAAUUCUUAUCACAACACCCUGCAUAGGUCUAAUGUAAGCAGAAUGUUUGCUUGAAUACAAAGUAGGUAAAGACUGCAAUAAUAGAUCUUACAUGAAAGAUUUGUAUGUGUAAGAUUCUACCUCUGGGAAAGUAUGCUUUUUCUUAUGCACCCAUCUGUUUCAGAUGGAAGCUGGGCUAUACCUGCAUGAGAUAAAAAAUAAAAAUCUUUCAG